UGACCCGCAAGGGUCACCUAGCCAACUGACGUUGUUAGUGAAUAAUCAAUGUUCACAAAUAACAGCCAAUAGACUCAUUCUAUUGGCUAUUUUUUU
rfam:Vibrio cholerae O1 biovar eltor str. N16961 chromosome I, complete sequence.